rnacentral:rRNA from 1 species
GAUGAACGCUAGCGAUAGGCCUAACACAUGCAAGUCGAGGGGCAUCACAUGAAGUAGCAAUACGGAUGGUGGCGACCGGCGCACGGGUGAGUAACACGUAUGCAACCUGCCUUCAACAAGGGGAUAACCCGUUGAAAGACGGACUAAUACCCUAUAACACAGGGGUCCCGCAUGGGAAUAUUUGUUAAAGGACAACCGGUUGAAGAUGGGCAUGCGUUCCAUUAGCUAGUUGGCGGGGUAACGGCCCACCAAGGCAACGAUGGAUAGGGGAACUGAGAGGUUUAUCCCCCACACUGGUACUGAGACACGGACCAGACUCCUACGGGAGGCAGCAGUGAGGAAUAUUGGUCAAUGGACGCAAGUCUGAACCAGCCACGUCGCGUGAAGGAAG